rnacentral:rRNA from 1 species
GAUGAACGCUGGCGGCGUGCCUAAUACAUGCAAGUCGAGCGAACAGACGAGGAGCUUGCUCCUCUGACGUUAGCGGCGGACGGGUGAGUAACACGUGGAUAACCUACCUAUAAGACUGGGAUAACUUCGGGAAACCGGAGCUAAUACCGGAUAAUAUAUUGAACCGCAUGGUUCAAUAGUGAAAGACGGUUUUGCUGUCACUUAUAGAUGGAUCCGCGCCGCAUUAGCUAGUUGGUAAGGUAACGGCUUACCAAGGCAACGAUGCGUAGCCGACCUGAGAGGUGGACCGCCCCCCUUGGACUUGGGCCCCGUCCCAGAUUCCUACGGAAGGAACAGGUGGGAAUUCUUCCGAAAUGGCCGAAACCCUGCCGGAGAACGCCGCGUGAGUGAUGAAGGUCUUCGGAUCGUAAAACUCUGUUAUUAGGGAAGAACAAAUGUGUAAGUAACUAUGCACGUCUUGACGGUACCUAAUCAGAAAGCCACGGCUAACUACGUG